rnacentral:rRNA from 1 species
AUUGAACGCUGGCGGCAUGCUUUACACAUGCAAGUCGAACGGCAGCGCGGGCUUCGGCCUGGCGGCGAGUGGCGAACGGGUGAGUAAUGCAUCGGAACGUGCCCAGUAGUGGGGGAUAGCCCGGCGAAAGCCGGAUUAAUACCGCAUACGACCUGAGGGUGAAAGCGGGGGACCGAAAGGCCUCGCGCUAUUUGAGCGGCCGAUGUCGGAUUAGCUAGUUGGUGGGGUAAAGGCUUACCAAGGCGACGAUCCGUAGCUGGUCUGAGAGGACGACCAGCCACACUGGGACUGAGACACGGCCCAGACUCCUACGGGAGGCAGCAGUGGGGAAUUUUGGACAAUGGGGGCAACCCUGAUCGAGCCAUGCCGCGUGCGGGAAGAAGGCCUUCGGGUUGUAAACCGCUUUUGUUCGGGAAGAAAUCCUCUGGGCUAAUACCCCGGGGGGAUGACGGUACCGGAAGAAUAAGCACCGGCUAACUACGUG